rnacentral:rRNA from 1 species
GAUGAACGCUGGCGGCGUGCCUAAUACAUGCAAGUCGAGCGAACAGACGAGGAGCUUGCUCCUCUGACGUUAGCGGCGGACGGGUGAGUAACACGUGGAUAACCUACCUAUAAGACUGGGAUAACUUCGGGAAACCGGAGCUAAUACCGGAUAAUAUAUUGAACCGCAUGGUUCAAUAGUGAAAGACGGUUUUGCUGUCACUUAUAGAUGGAUUCACGCCGCAUUAGCUAGUUGGUAAGGUAACGGCUUACCAAGGCAACGAUGCGUAGCCGACCUGAGAGGGUGAUCGGCCACACUGGAACUGAGACACGGUCCAGACUCCUACGGGAGGCAGCAGUAGGGAAUCUUCCGCAAUGGGCGAAAGCCUGACGGAGCAACGCCGCGUGAGUGAUGAAGGUCUUCGGAUCGUAAAACUCUGUUAUUAGGGAAGAACAAAUGUGUAAGUAACUAUGCACGUCUUGACGGUACCUAAUCAGAAAGCCACGGCUAACUACGUG